AUUGUAGCACAUCCUGACCAGUUCUUUCUCUGCCUCUAACAGUGAUGCCUUACUGGCCGGUUGGUUCUUUCCUCUUUUUCUCCCUACUUCCUCUCACUUUCUCUGUUAGAAGCAUUUGCAAAAUCUUCACACUCUCGAAUUUUCCUGAACCUGGCAACAAAGUUAUUUUUGCAAGCUGGAUUUGCAAGAUGCUGAAUUUGGCUAUCAUGGAGAGGCUGUACGAGAUAAAAGGCGCUGAGCCCAGAUUCAAAUUCAGGAUGCGGACACGCUCCAAGUUUUCUAUGCGGUUUAGUUCAAUGAAUGGAAGGAGACUGGAGAGCAGCUCAGUUUUAAUCCAGGGUGGUGAAGAACAGACCAUGCAACGGGACGGUUUUGAGGUGCUCAGAAAUGGGGAAAUCUUCAAUAGACUCCAGCAGAAGUGGUGCACAAUGGAUGUAAGGGAAGUAUCUUGUCUGGGAAAGGCUGUAGCUGUGCAUUGUGGCUUACUCUGCUUCUCUUCUUGAGCGUACUGUAGCUUGGGUGAAGCAGGAGAACUUGGAAAAUGUGUUUGCUGGCUUCCAGCCAGGCUGGUAAUAUGUGUUACUCUGAAAAGAAGCAAACAGGCUUUGUGUAUCUUGAAACAAAUUUUAGCUGUGAAAUAAAAGACUGUCUUGACAGGUCUCUUGGAAGGAACAUACAGUUUCAUUCUUCUUGGAGACCUUUAAUGUGCCCUGUGGGUGCACUGUGAAUAUGGGUUGUAUACUCUGGUGCUCCAGACUGGAGUCAAGUCCAGAUCAUAGGUGUUCAGGUUACACCUGAAUGAAUUGCUUGUUCUGAGUUGCCAAGUCUUUAUAUUUUUGUGUGCUUUAUGGGUGUCCUGCAUUCAGCACCUCUCAAAAUACAUUUCAGGAGCCCCUUAAGCAAUGUAUUGUGUAUGCUGGAGCAGGAGAAGACCACACAUCUUUUUUUUUUCAUGACAUAGUGUGAGACAAGGCCUCUAGUAUGGGUUCAGAUAGCAUGAAGACAACUAGAACUAUUUAGAAGAUAAACAAUGUGGUGACUCUUGCAAUAAAUGAACACAAAGAGACAGCAGCUGGUAGUGUGCCCAGUGCUAAAUAAGGAGGGGACAACCUGAGCACUCUGACCCUAAUGUAGGUCACUUACAUAAACAGAAUGGCAGUCUGGGACAAGAGGAAGUGAGAAGGGAACUGGAAGACUUCCAAACUAUUUUGGUUCACAGGUGUGAGCAGGGUAAAUAUUGUGAUGUACUUUGGUCAACAUAACAUGAGGUAACUCAGAAGGUAUUUCAAUACAAGAAAUGAUGUUCUGUAGACAUUUUUUAUUUAAUGAAAAGAUGUCUGUUUAUAUACCAAUAUUAAUUACUUACUUUGAAAGGCCUUGAGUGGACUUUGUGCCAUACCCACUGCUGGGUCAGAUUAGAGACUCUAUUUUCAGCACACCAGUUGCUGACAGUACAUUGUGCCAGUACAUUGUCAGCAUUCAGAAAAAGUAGUAAUAAUAAGUUAAGCAGAACUGUGUAACUCCACAGAAAGAUGAGUAGGAGGCUCCCUAAGCAUACUCAAAAGAUUUAAACAGAAAUUAUUUUGAUUGGAUUGUUUGUAAUUUAUGAAAAGGAGAAUGCUUAGCAAUAUCCCCCAACUGCAGCAGACAUGGGAAGAGGUGUGGAUGCAUGGAUGACUAAGUAGACUUUUGCUUGGAUUGAGAUAAUCCUCAGCUGUGUCCCAGGAUUAUGAAGCCUUAAAACUGGACAUAUUAUGAUUGGGUGAGAUGUAAAUUUCAAACCCUGACCGUUUGUAGCCAGUAGAAUUUAAUAGCUCCUUUUACUCAGAGCAGUCUGCACAACCCUAGUAGCUUGCUUGAAUUCUACUAUCAGUAUAAUAAUUCUGUUAUUGCCUGUAUUUGGCUGAGGAAUUUCUGUAUUCUGAUCUGUGCUAACCUACUCUUUGUGAGCACUGUAAAAUAGCUGCUUUGUUCAUUCUCUUUAAAAAUAAAU